UGGGUAACCUGCCUCAAAGAGGGGAAUAGCCUCCCGAAAGGGAGAUUAAUACCGCAUAAUAUGUUUAGGUCGCAUGACUUUAACAUCAAAGGAUUUUUCUUUUAAGAAAUUCCACUUUGAGAUGGACCCGCGGCGCAUUAGCUAGUUGGUGAGGUAACGGCUCACCAAGGCAACGAUGCGUAGCCGACCUGAGAGGGUNAUCGGCCACAUUGGAACUGAGACACGGUCCAGACUCCGUAGGAGG
rnacentral:rRNA from 1 species